ACACCUACGGGUGGCAGCAGUCGAGAAUCUUCGGCAAUGGGCGCAAGCCUGACCGAGCGACGCCGCGUGUGGGAUGAAGGCCUUCGGGUUGUAAACCACUGUCGGAGGGGAGGAAAUACACGUGGGUUCUCCCACGUGCUUGACCUAUCCUCGGAGGAAGGACGGGCUAAGUUCGUGCCAGCAGCCGCGGUAAGACGAACCGUCCGAACGUUAUUCGGAAUUACUGGGCUUAAAGGGUGCGUAGGCGGCGUAGAAAGUAGGGUGUGAAAUCCCUCGGCUUAACCGAGGAACCGCGCUCUAAACUACUAUGCUUGGGGGAGAUAGAGGUGAGCGGAACUUAGGGUGGAGCGGUGAAAUGCGUUGAUAUCCUAAGGAACACCGGUGGCGAAAGCGGCUCACUGGAUCUUUUCUGACGCUGAGGCACGAAAGCUAGGGUAGCGAACGGGAUUAGAUACCCCGGUAGUCCUAGCCGUAAACGAUGAGCACUGGAUUGGAG
rnacentral:rRNA from 1 species